rnacentral:misc_RNA from 1 species
GUGAAUCAUCGAAUCUUUGAACGCAAAUUGCACUCUUUUCGGAGAGUAUGCCUGUUUGAGGGUCAGUAUAAUAAAAAUCGGUAUGUUGCUUUUUUUGUGACGUUCCGGAGAUGAGUUAUCUUAAUUUUUUUUAGGUUAAGAGGCUUAAAAUUGACCUUUUUGUGCAUUUUUUAGACGUACAUUAAUAUUUUUUAUUCGUUUAUUUAAAUGCCAAAAUUUAUUAGAUGCGAUCAUAUCAUGUGGUUCCGUAUCUAUAAAUAUUUUCGUGAUUUGACCUCAAAUCAGGUAGGAGCACCCGCU